rnacentral:rRNA from 1 species
UACGAAGGGGGCUAGCGUUGCUCGGAAUCACUGGGCGUAAAGCGCACGUAGGCGGAUUGCUAAGUCAGGGGUGAAAUCCUGGAGCUCAACUCCAGAACUGCCUUCGAUACUGGCGAUCUUGAGUCCGGGAGAGGUGAGUGGAACUCCGAGUGUAGAGGUGAAAUUCGUAGAUAUUCGGAAGAACACCAGUGGCGAAGGCGGCUCACUGGCCCGGUACUGACGCUGAGGUGCGAAAGCGUGGGGAGCAAACAGG